CAGGCCUAACACAUGCAAGUCGAACGGUAACAGGAAGCAGCUUGCUGCUUCGCUGACGAGUGGCGGACGGGUGAGUAAUGUCUGGGAAACUGCCUGAUGGAGGGGGAUAACUACUGGAAACGGUAGCUAAUACCGCAUAACGUCGCAAGACCAAAGAGGGGGACCUUCGGGCCUCUUGCCAUCGGAUGUGCCCAGAUGGGAUUAGCUAGUAGGUGGGGUAACGGCUCACCUAGGCGACGAUCCCUAGCUGGUCUGAGAGGAUGACCAGCCACACUGGAACUGAGACACGGUCCAGACUCCUACGGGAGGCAGCAGUGGGGAAUAUUGCACAAUGGGCGCAAGCCUGAUGCAGCCAUGCCGCGUGUAUGAAGAAGGCCUUCGGGUUGUAAAGUACUUUCAGCGGGGAGGAAGGCGAUAAGGUUAAUAACCUUGUCGAUUGACGUUACCCGCAGAAGAAGCACCGGCUAACUCCGUGCCAGCAGCCGCGGUAAUACGGAGGGUGCAAGCGUUAAUCGGAAUUACUGGGCGUAAAGCGCACGCAGGCGGUCUGUCAAGUCGGAUGUGAAAUCCCCGGGCUCAACCUGGGAACUGCAUUCGAAACUGGCAGGCUAGAGUCUUGUAGAGGGGGGUAGAAUUCCAGGUGUAGCGGUGAAAUGCGUAGAGAUCUGGAGGAAUACCGGUGGCGAAGGCGGCCCCCCUGGACAAAGACUGACGCUCAG
rnacentral:rRNA from 1 species